CUCCCACCUCAGACUCCUGAACAGCUGGGACCACAGCAAAUAUUCUCAGAGCUCUUCGUGAUAUCUUGGGGAAAACAGUCAAGAAGGCAGAUAAACGGAAUGACAAUGUUUUGGCAAAGUGACUUAGAAGGGUGAGGCGUGGCUUAGGCCUAGGAAGCAUCUGAUACGUGGCACCCUGGCCCUGUGAAUUUGGGCAGGGCAGCCAGGGCCAGGCUGUUCCUGUAGGUCAGAGUGAGGAAACAGACAGAAAACGACCGGCGGUCUGUGCACGCGGAAGUGAACAGCCACUUGGGGCCACCACAGACUGCGGUACUUUCUUCACAGCCCUAUCAAGACGAACCUUCCCUGUCUUAUCAUAGUAAGCUGGAUUUUGGACACAGCAAGAAAGCAGGGAACUGCUGACACUCCUAGCCUCUGCUGCAUGGCCCAGAAGAGUUGUGUCCAAGUCAAGUUCCUCAGUGAAACCUCAUGACAACACGGAAAGGAGGGUGAGAAGGGUGAGAAGCCGUUCACUGUGUUUACUUGUGAGGAAACGAGAACAGUAGUGAGCAGGGGACUUUCUUCUUCUGUUCUGAAUUAGGUACAGAUCAGUCAGGGUGGAAAGUCAACAGCUAAGAGUCCAAUUGGGCCAUUUAACAGAAUUUGAUGAAGGACCACAUGUAAAGCAUGGAUAGGAUACAGAGAAAUGUUACAGACAGUCCUCUGGACGAUAAACAGUGGGCACCAUGACUAGCCUUGGGCUGGGAGGGAGGAAGAGGGGGGUGGUGACUUGGAGAGAUGGAACUCUUGGGCACAUCCCCUGGCAGAAGCUGAAACCUUUGGGAGAGGAAUGCAGCUGGCCCAUGACUCUGUAAGGAGAAGCCUGGGUGGUUAAUGGCCUGACCCCUUUCUCCUCUGCCAGCUCCCACCAGCCAGCCCAGCAAGAAGCCAGAGGGCAAGGGGACCCAGAGCAGGGUGGCAGCAGGUGAAGGAGGGAGGCAUGAAUCAGGGAAAGUGGAGGGAAGAUACCAACACACUGUGGGGGUUCUGUAGGGUUUAUAUCUUUGGCAAUAAGAAUGUAUGUGUAUAUUUUCUGUGAAACACACACGUAGAUUCCUAGGCAAAUCAGCUUCUAAAUGAAAAGCCACCAUGACCUGUAUCUCUCUGGGACUAGCCUAUCUACUCGAGAAAUGCAUGUUACAUUUCUGU